UACGUAGGGUGCAAGCGUUGUCCGGAAUUAUUGGGCGUAAAGAGCUCGUAGGCGGUCUGUCGCGUCGGCUGUGAAAUCCCGGAGCUCAACUCCGGGUCUGCAGUCGAUACGGGCAAACUGGAGUACUGCAGGGGAGACUGGAAUUCCUGGUGUAGCGGUGAAAUGCGCAGAUAUCAGGAGGAACACCGGUGGCGAAGGCGACCACCUGGACGGAGAUUGACGCUGAGGCGCGAAAAGCGUGGGGGAGCAAACAGG
rnacentral:rRNA from 1 species